AUCUCCUUCGAGUUAAUAUAUAAUCGUAGGGCAGUGAGGUUGGAGUAAAGUUGGAAAGUUUUGUCGGCGGAUUUAGCGGUGAAAUGUGUAAAUAAUCUAAGUCAAAUAUAUGUUUUUGUGUAGUAUUGUUUGGCUGUGCUGUGUACUGUAAAACUUUAAAAAUUUAAGCUGAGAAAGCUGUUUAUUAAAAACAAGGAUUAGAGACCCUUUUAUUUAAGCUGAAACUAGGUUUCCUAUGGGUAUGAUGAACGUUAUAAUAAGUUUAGUAGCUUAUGAGAGUUGGCGGCAUUUUGCAACCUUUUAGGGGAACUUGGCGUUUAAAUCGAUGAUCCUCGAAAAUCUUACCUCUAAUUUUCCUUUCAUACCGCCGUUGUCAGCGAGUUUUGAAAAAAUAAUUUGCGUAUACAAAAUCUAAAUUAGUUUAGUGGAAUAUUUGUGUUUGUAAGAAUUC
rnacentral:rRNA from 1 species